AGUGAACGCUGGCGGUAGGCCUAACACAUGCAAGUCGAACGGCAGCACAGGAGAGCUUGCUCUCUGGGUGGCGAGUGGCGGACGGGUGAGGAAUACAUCGGAAUCUGCCCAGUCGUGGGGGAUAACGUAGGGAAACUUGCGCUAAUACCGCAUACGACCUUCGGGUGAAAGAGGGGGAUCGCAAGACCUCUCGCGAUUGGAUGAGCCGAUGUCGGAUUAGCUAGUUGGCGGGGUAAUGGCCCACCAAGGCGACGAUCCGUAGCUGGUCUGAGAGGAUGAUCAGCCACACUGGAACUGAGACACGGUCCAGACUCCUACGGGAGGCAGCAGUGGGGAAUAUUGGACAAUGGGCGCAAGCCUGAUCCAGCCAUACCGCGUGGGUGAAGAAGGCCUUCGGGUUGUAAAGCCCUUUUGUUGGGAAAGAAAUCUUUCAGGCUAAUACCCUGGGAGGAUGACGGUACCCAAAGAAUAAGCACCGGCUAACUUCGUG
rnacentral:rRNA from 1 species